rnacentral:rRNA from 1 species
GACAGGUGAUGCAAGUGUUAUCCGGAAUGAUUGGGCGUAAAGCGUCUGUAGGUGGUUUACCAAGUCUGUUGUUAAAACUGAGGGCUUAACCCUGAUACGGCAAUAGAAACUAGUAGGCUAGAGUACGGUAGGGGCAGAGGGAAUUUUCGGUGUAGUGGUGAAAUACGUAGAUAUCGAGAAGAACACCGAUAGCGAAAGCACUCUGCUGGGCCGACACUGACAUUGAGAGACGAAAGCUAGGGGAGCGAAUGGG